CUUCUUGUGAAUGAUUUGUCUGGUUAUUCCGAUAACGAACGUGACUCAAUCAAAUUAAAUAGAACGCUAUCAGCAGUCAGAUGUUUGAUACCGACGGUUCGGGCAACGGUCGCUCGCGACACGCGCUCGGCCGGCGGUGUAGUGUGACCUGAUAAUACGUCAACCCAUCGUGGUUGACUUCUGCUUAAUAGGACAAUUUGUGUUCAGCAAAAUGAGAUUGAGCGAUAACAGGUCCGUGAUGCCCUUAGAUGUUCUGGGCUGCACGCGCGCUACAAUGUGCGCAGCAACGCGUAUCCUUGCCCGAAAGGGCCGGGAAAUCGCUUAAAUGCGCAUUUAGUCGGGAUUAUGGAUUGAAAUGGUCCAUAUGAACCUGGAAUUCCCAGUAAGUGCUGGUCAUUAGCUAGCGUUGAUUACGUCCCUGCCCUUUGUACACACCGCCCGUCGCUACUACCGAUGGAUUAUUUAGUGAGGUCUUUGAAGGUGAACAUUUGCUUGUCCCCCCUCGGGA
rnacentral:rRNA from 1 species